UAGAGCGGCGGACGGGUGAGUAACACGUGGACAAUCUGCCCCCCGGCCCGGGAUAGCCCAGGGAAACCUGGAUUAAUACCGGAUGAGACGGGACCCGCGAUGGCGGGACCCGGGAAAGGCGCUGCGGCGCCGCCGGGGGAUGAGUCUGCGUCCCAUUAGCUAGACGGCGGGGUAACGGCCCACCGUGGCGACGAUGGGUAGCCGGCCUGAGAGGGUGGACGGCCACAUUGGAACUGAGACACGGUCCAGACUCCUACGGGAGGCAGCAGCUAAGAAUCUUCCGCAAUGGGCGAAAGCCUGACGGAGCGAACCGCCGCGUGAACGAAGAAGGCCGUGAGGUUGUAAAGUUCUUUCGGAGGGGGAACAACCGUGGCAGGGAAUGGCCGCGGGAUGACGUGAAUCCCGGAAUAAGCCCCGGCUAACUACGUGCCAGCCGCGGC
rnacentral:rRNA from 1 species